AGCUGGUAGCAGGGUCCAAGAGCCUACAAACAGCUGGGAGUUUGUCUCCCACCAGGGUGUCAAAGACAGAUUGACACAGCAUCAGCAGAGUGCUCCUACAAAGGGACACUUCUGGGCCAGAAUCUCAUUCUGGCUCAAGCACUGUGCAUUCAAGUAUUAAGCAUUUUCAUCUUCACAACCACCCCGUGAAGAGAUACUACUAUCCACAUUUCACAGAGGAGCUGAUGAGUCUUGGCUGACUCUGCAUGGAGCCCUCUCAUUUUGCUCUUUACCUGAAUUCUCUGGACCCUUUUUCUUUCCCUGCCUCCUGCCCCUGCUGCAUCCAUUUCUUCCUGGGUCUCCACACCUGGGUGAGCACCCUCUUGGCUGAGUCAAAGAUGGCUCGUGCCCCAUCGCCUCUCCAAGCCUCUCUGUGACCCUCAGGAACAUGCAGCCUUCCUCAUACAGCCGAACUCCAACAGCCCAGUCUCUCCUCCACUGCCCACUCACCGUGGAUGAUCAGCCCUGGAUGGACCCAACAAUCACAGGAUAGUGUCCAUACUUAAUGUCCUGCCUCGGGGAACCCUGCUCUUCCGCCUGAACGUAAAACCUAAGUGCCUUUGGUCAGGAAGACAACAUGACCCUGUCUACCUGUGAAUGAAUAGCUGCAAGAAAGAAGAAAGUAACAUGUGCCCUCCCCAAAACUGAUCAUUCCAGGAGAUAUUUGCAAGAUGAAUGGCCUUUUUAUUUUACAUCCUCACCUUGCCCCUCUCCUCUAUGUUCUGUAAAAGAAACUGGCAUCCAGACCCAUCUGAUGAUUAUUUUGAGACAUUAGUCUGCCAUUUUCUCGGUCUGCUAGCUUUCAGAAUAAAAUUGUAUUCCUUGCCUCAA